CCUACGGGACGCAGCAGUGGGGAAUUUUCCGCAAUGGGCGAAAGCCUGACGGAGCAAUCUCGCGUGAGGGAUGACGGCCUAUGGGUUGUAAACCUCUUUUUUCAGGGAGGAACAAAAUGACGUGUACCUGAAGAAUAAGCAUCGGCUAACUCCGUGCCAGCAGCCGCGGUAAGACGGAGGAUGCAAGUGUUAUCCGGAAUCACUGGGCGUAAGGCGUCUGUAGGUGGUUUAAUAAGUCAACUGUUAAAUCUUGAAGCUCAACUUCAAAAUCGCAGUCGAAACUAUUAGACUAGAGUAUAGUAGGGGUAAAGGGAAUUUCCAGUGGAGCGGUGAAAUGCGUAGAGAUUGGAAAGAACACCGAUGGCGAAGGCACUUUACUGGGCUAUUACUGACACUCAGAGACGAAAGCUAGGGUAGCAAAUGGGAUUAGAUACCCUUGUAGUC
rnacentral:rRNA from 1 species